GAUGAACGCUAGCGGCAGGCCUAAUACAUGCAAGACGAACGGUAAGUUGAGUAGCAAUACUUAGCCAAGAGUGUCGUACGGGUGCGUAACACGUAUGCAACCUACCCUAUACAGGAGGAUAGCCUAGGGAAACCUGGAUUAACCCUUCAUAGUAUUAUUGGAUGGCAUCAUUUGAUAAUUAAAACUGAGGUGGUAUAGGAUGGGCAUGCGUCUGAUUAGUUAGUUGGCGGGGUAAUGGCCCACCAAGACGAUGAUCAGUAGGGGUUCUGAGAGGAAGAUCCCCCACACUGGCACUGAGAUACGGGCCAGACUCCUACGGGAGCAGCAGUAGGGAAUAUUGGUCAAUGGAUGCAAGUCUGAACCAGCCAUGCCGCGUGCAGGAAGAAGGCCUUCUGGGUUGUAAACUGCUUUUGCCAGGGGAUAAAAUUUCCAUGCGUGGAAAACUGAAGGUACCUGGUGAAUAAGCCACGGCUAAUACGUGCCAGCAGCCGCGGUAAU
rnacentral:rRNA from 1 species